GGGGAUGUGACUGAGUGGCAGAGUGUUUGCCUGGCAUUUACAAGGCCCUGGGUUUGAUCCCUAGCAACCCCC
rnacentral:tRNA from 1 species